rnacentral:rRNA from 1 species
AUUGAACGCUGGCGGCGUGCUAACACAUGCAAGUCGAUCGGUAACAGGUGUAGCAAUACAUGCUGACGAGAGGCGGACGGGUGAGUAAUGCUUGGGAAUCUGCCUAUUAGUGGGGGACAACCCGGGGAAACUCGGGCUAAUACCGCACACGCUCUACGGAGGAAAGCCGGGGACCGCAAGGCCUGGCGCUAAUAGAUGAGCCCAAGUCGGAUUAGCUAGUUGGUAGGGUAACGGCCUACCAAGGCGACAAUCCGUAGCUGGUCUGAGAGGACGACCAGCCACACCGGAACUGAGACACGGUCCGGACUCCUACGGGAGGCAGCAGUGGGGAAUAUUGGACAAUGGGGGCAACCCUGAUCCAGCGACGCCGCGUGGGUGAAGAAGGCCUGCGGGUUGUAAAGCCCUUUCGGUGGGGAAGAAAAGUCUCGACCUAAUACGUCGGGACCUUGACGUAACCCACUAAAGAAGCACCGGCUAACUCUGUGCCAGCCGCCGCGGUAAG